GCUGGCGGCAUGCCUAACACAUGCAAGUCGAACGGAAACGAUGGGAGCUUGCUCCCAGGCGUCGAGUGGCGGACGGGUGAGUAAUACUUAGGAAUCUGCCCAUUAGUGGGGGACAACAUUCGGAAACGGAUGCUAAUACCGCAUACGCCCUACGGGGGAAAGCGGGGGAUCUUCGGACCUCGCGCUAAUGGAUGAGCCUAAGUCGGAUUAGCUUGUUGGUGAGGUAAUGGCUCACCAAGGCGACGAUCCGUAGCUGGUCUGAGAGGACGAUCAGCCACACUGGGACUGAGACACGGCCCAGACUCCUACGGGAGGCAGCAGUGGGGAAUAUUGGACAAUGGGCGCAAGCCUGAUCCAGCAAUGCCGCGUGUGUGAAGAAGGCCUGCGGGUUGUAAAGCACUUUCAGUAGAGAAGAAAAGCCUACGGUUAAUAACCGUGAGUCUUGACGUAACCUACAGAAGA
rnacentral:rRNA from 1 species